AGAGUUUGAUCCCUGGCUCAGAUUGAACGCUGGCGGCAGNCNUAACACAUGCAAGUCGAGCGGAUGACGGGAGCUUGCUCCUUGAUUCAGCGGCGGACGGGUGAGUAAUGCCUAGGAAUCUGCCUGGUAGUGGGGGACAACGUUUCGAAAGGAACGCUAAUACCGCAUACGUCCUACGGGAGAAAGCAGGGGACCUUCGGGCCUUGCGCUAUCAGAUGAGCCUAGGUCGGAUUAGCUAGUUGGUGGGGUAAUGGCUCACCAAGGCGACGAUCCGUAACUGGUCUGAGAGGAUGAUCAGUCACACUGGAACUGAGACACGGUCCAGACUCCUACGGGAGGCAGCAGUGGGGAAUAUUGGACAAUGGGCGAAAGCCUGAUCCAGCCAUGCCGCGNGUGUGAAGAAGGUCUUCGGAUUGUAAAGCACUUUAAGUUGGGAGGAAGGGCGAAAGCUAAUACCUUCUCUUUGACGGNAGCAGANACCCGCACU
rnacentral:rRNA from 1 species